GCAAGUCGAGCGAACAGAGAAGGAGCUUGCUCCUUCGACGUUAGCGGCGGACSGGUGAGUAACACGUGGGCAACCUACCUUAUAGUUUGGGAUAACUCCGGGAAACCGGGGCUAAUACCGAAUAAUCUGUUUCACCUCAUGGUGAAACACUGAAAGACGGUUUCGGCUGUCGCUAUAGGAUGGGCCCGCGGCGCAUUAGCUAGUUGGUGAGGUAACGGCUCACCAAGGCGACGAUGCGUAGCCGACCUGAGAGGGUGAUCGGCCACACUGGGACUGAGACACGGCCCAGACUCCUACGGGAGGCAGCAGUAGGGAAUCUUCCACAAUGGGCGAAAGCCUGAUGGAGCAACGCCGCGUGAGUAGAGAAGGAUUUCGGUUCGUAAAACUCUGUUGUAAGGAGAGAGACASUUGGCUGUACCUUGACGGUACCUUAUUAGAAAGCCACGGCUAACUACGUGCCAGCAGCCGCGGUAAUACGUAGGUGGCAAGCGUUGUCCGGAAUUAUUGGGCGUAAAGCGCGCGCAGGUGGUUUCUUAAGUCUGAUGUGAAAGCCCACGGCUCAACCGUGGAGGGUCAUUGGAAACUGGGAGACUUGAGUGCAGAAGAGGAUAGUGGAAUUCCAAGUGUAGCGGUGAAAUGCGUAGAGAUUUGGAGGAACACCAGUGGCGAAA
rnacentral:rRNA from 1 species